rnacentral:lncRNA from 1 species
AUCGUCGGCCGGCGUCCACGUACGUCCCACGGUCCCAGCUGGUUGGUGAAUAGAGCGGCUAGAGCCUAGGCGGAGAGCCAACCAUCUGCGCGUCUGCGUGGCGGCCGUGCGUGGCUGCUCUGUGUCCGUCCGCGCAUCGCGCCCGGCCCGCGCGCACGCUCGUGGUGUCUGUGUUCGUGUACUCGUGGGUACCUGCAUGUGUCACUGUGUGUAUGAUCAUCUGUAAUCUUUUACAUACGCUGUGAAUGUAUUAUCCAGCGAUUCUUAGUAAAUCAGUAAAUUCCGCCAUUUUCUUGACGAGUUA